AGGACGAACGCUGGCGGCGUGCUUAACACAUGCAAGUCGAGCGGUAAGGCUCCUUCGGGAGUACACGAGCGGCGAACGGGUGAGUAACACGUGAGCAAUCUGCCCUUCUCUUCGGAAUAACCAUUGGAAACGAUGGCUAAUGCCGAAUACGACCUCCUUUCGCAUGAUCGGAGGUGGAAAGCUCCGGCGGAGAAGGAUGAGCUCGCGGCCUAUCAGCUAGUUGGCGGGGUAACGGCCCACCAAGGCGACGACGGGUAGCCGGCCUGAGAGGGUGACCGGCCACACUGGGACUGAGACACGGCCCAGACCUCCUACGGGAGGCAGCAGGUGGGGAAUAGUUGGACAAGUGGGACGAAAGCCUGAUCCAGCAACGCCGCGUGAGGAUGGACGGCCGUUCGGGUACGUAACCUCUUUCGAGUCGAGGACGAAGGCGAAAGUGACGUACUAGACGAGGAAGAACGGACCGGACAACUACGUGACCAGCGAGCCGUACGGUAACUCGUAGGACGUCGGG
rnacentral:rRNA from 1 species